GCACCCGUAGCUCAGCUGGAUAGAGUACCAGAUUCCGAAUCUGGGGGUCACAGGUUCGAAUCCUGUCGGGUGCGCCA
rnacentral:tRNA from 1 species